GACGAACGCUGGCGGCGUGCUUAACACAUGCAAGUCGAACGAGUGGCGAACGGGUGAGUAAUACGUGAGUAACCUGCCCUCUUUUUGGGAUAAGCCUUGGAAACGGGGUCUAAUACCGGAUAAAGGGGGAUGGGCUCGCGGCCUAUCAGCUUGUUGGUGGGGUGAUGGCCUACCAAGGCGGUGACGGGUGGCCGGCCUGAGAGGGUGACCUGGCACAGUGGGACGGAGAUGCGGCCCAGAGUCCGACGGGAGGCAGCAGUGUGGGAUAUUGCACAAUGGGUGAAAGCCUGAUGCAGCGACGCCGCGUGGGGGAUGAAGGCUUUCGGGUUGUAAACCUCGGUCGCUAUCGAAGGGUUAGGUGGAGAAGAAGCGCCGGCUAACUACGUGCCAGCAGCCGCGGUAAUAC
rnacentral:rRNA from 1 species